rnacentral:tRNA from 1 species
GUACCCUUAGUUCAAUAGGUAGAAUACUCCGGUUCAUAUCGGAAGAUGUAGGUUCGAAUCCUACGGGGUACA